rnacentral:rRNA from 1 species
AUGGUUGCGAUGGAGUCUCGACUGGAGGAGCAGAGGCGACUGCUAGAUGAGAAGUUGGAGGAGAGGUUGGCGGAGGAGAGGCGACCGGCGGAUGAGAAGAGGGCGGAGGAGAGGCGACUAGCGGAUGAGAGGAUGCAACAGUACUUUGCAAUGUUUGCGGCUUAUUGUACCCAUAAUGGUAUGCCCGCUAUGCAGAUGCCUGACAUUGCUUCACCCCCUAUGUAUCAAUCAGGCCAUGGCUCAAAUAAUGAUGGAUGUUCACAUGCAUCAGGCCCAAACGCCAAUGACCAUGGUGGUUCUCCAAAUCUUUGA